rnacentral:rRNA from 1 species
UAUCUCUGUAGAGUCUGCAUAUCAAUAAGCGGAGGAAAAGAAACUAACAAGGAUUCCCUCAGUAACGGCGAGUGAAGCGGGAAGAGCUCAAAUUUGAAAUCUUCAAGGUUCUACCUUGACGAAUUGUAGUUUAAAGAAGUGUUUUCUGUUGAAGUUUUGGUAAAAGUUCUUUGGAAUAGGACAUCAUAGAGGGUGAGAAUCCCGUAUUUGACCAGUUAUUUCCAGCUGUGUGAUACACUUUCAAAGAGUCGGAUUGUUUGGGAAUGCAGUCCAAAAUGGGUGGUAAAUUUCAUCUAAAGCUAAAUACUGGCGAGAGACCGAUAGCGAACAAGUACCGUGAGGGAAAGAUGAAAAGAACUUUGAAAAGAGAGUUAAAUAGUACGUGAAAUUGUCAAAAGGGAAGCGUUUGACACCAGUGUUGUUUUCUCGAAAAUCAAUUAAAAAAGGCAGGAUUUUGUGUUGUAUUGACUUUAUCAGCUUUCUGCACUCUUUUCUUGUCUUCUUUUAAUGCACUUUUCGUUUAACAAGUCAACAUCAAUUUCUUUUGUUGUAAAAGGGUCAUUGGAAGGUGGCUUUCUUUUCGGAGAAAGUGUUUAUAGCCUUUGGCCUCUGCAAUCGGAGAGAUUGAGGUCUGCAGCGUAGAUCCUUCGGGGUUAGAUACAUUUGUGCUAAGUUAUAGCCUUUCAUAGACAACUUGUUGACUAUGAUCAGUCAUGUAGCUUACUCGCUUAUGCUAUUUUACCUACGCUUAGGAUGUUGAAGAUGUAGCACAUCAU